UACGUAGGGUGCGAGCGUUGUCCGGAAUUAUUGGGCGUAAAGGGCUCGUAGGCGGUUUGUCGCGUCGGGAGUGAAAAUCCAGGGCUUAACUCUGGACUGGCUUUCGAUACGGGCAGACUAGAGGUAUGCAGGGGAGAACGGAAUUCCUGGUGUAGCGGUGAAAUGCGCAGAUAUCAGGAGGAACACCGGUGGCGAAGGCGGUCUCUGGGCAUUACCUGACGCUGAGGAGCGAAAGUGUGGGGAGCGAACAGG
rnacentral:rRNA from 1 species